AAUCAACGCAGGCGGCGUGCCUAACACAUGCAAGUCGAACGCGAAAGGGGCUUCGGCCCUGAGUAGAGUGGCAGACGGGUGAGUAACGCGUGGAUGACCUGCCCUUGAGCGGGGGAUAACGUCUCGAAAGGGACGCUAAUACCGCAUGAUGUCCCGCCCUUGAAGAGGUGGUGACCAAAGCCGGGGACCGCAAGGCCUGGCACUCGAGGAGGGGUCCGCGUCCGAUUAGCUCGUUGGUGAGGUAAUGGCUCACCAAGGCUCCGAUCGGUAGCCGGCCUGAGAGGGCGGACGGCCACACUGGGACUGAGACACGGCCCAGACUCCUACGGGAGGCAGCAGUGGGGAAUAUUGGACAAUGGGCGAAAGCCUGAUCCUGCAAUACCGCGUGUGUGAAGAAGGCCUGAGGGUUGUAAAGCACUUUUAAUCGGGGGGAACAUCUGCGGGCCAAUACCCCGUAGUCUGACAUUACCGAUAGAAAAAGCACCGGCUAACUCCGUGCCAGCAGCCGCAGUAAGAC
rnacentral:rRNA from 1 species